CCGGAGGAAGGUGGGGAUGACGUCAAGUCCUCAUGGCCCUUAUAGGUGGGGCUACACACGUCAUACAAUGGCCGGUACAGAGGGUAGCCAACCCGCGAGGGGGAGCCAAUCCCACAAAGCCGGUCGUAGUCCGGAUCGCAGUCUGCAACUCGACUGCGUGAAGUCGGAAUCGCUAGUAAUCGCGGAUCAGCAUGUCGCGGUGAAUACGUUCCCGGGUCUU
rnacentral:rRNA from 1 species